CCGAUAGAUUUUUUUGAGACAAUUUCCAUUCUGUAAGAACACUAAGUGACGGGGCGAAACAGGCCCUUGCACAGGCCGCCCACCUCUGCGGAAGAUCACUCGGAUAGUGGAAGACGACGAUCGACGGCCGCGUCCGGACCUCAUGAUAAACAUUUUCCAAGAGUGGGACCCAAGAAUCGAACACGGGUCCUCUGAAAUGAAAAGAUGAAACGUUUCUACGUGGCGAAUUCGGCCGACAGAACAUCCGAUAGGUUCUAAAGAGUGUCGCCGCAUAAUACGCAGCGGUAUAAAGAAACGUAGAAGAAUAAACCAGAGCAGAUUGAACGUGUGGUAAUGUUUCGGCUUUUCACUCUGCAGGACUUGAAUUCGAGUCUCGGUUCCCAUCCUUGCAAAUUUUUAUCUCGAGAUCCGGGUCUGAUCCAUCAAACCUGAUCCUCCACCGUCUGGCCGACUCCUCCACCAGGAUGGACAACCUAUGGAAGGGCUGCUUCCUCUCCGUCAAUUAGUAUUCUUACAGAACGGAAACUGUCAUCAUCUGUUGACAAAAAAACCUGGAUAUUCCUCUGACUCGGCUUCGGACGGCCCAAGUACUUUCACUAAAUACUAAGCAAAAUCUACCGACCGAUAAUCGGAAAUGUUCUUUGACUGGAAUGUUCUGUCAGAAUGGAGAGCGUCUGUAAUUUAUAGUUUCCGGCAGGACAUGCUAACCGAGAAUUGGAACAUUAAUGACCAUAGAGUGUUCCGGAUCACCUUUCUUCGUUACACCCGUCUAUGCGGAACUGAAGUAAUUUUGAGACAGAAUAACAAUUCCGGCCCGAUGAAAGGUGGAGGAUCAUAAUCUACCCUUCUAUACCUCCAGUAGCUUCUCUUUUUUCUUUACGUAGUUUACAUCGUUUCCCGACAGGAGUUAUUCGGCGGCUCUUUGUCCGCUACUCCAGUGAACAUCGGACUUCGGAUCAAGGAUGGCUUCGACCAGUUAGACCUCGACCGCUUUGGAAAUAAAGCAGCUUAGUCUGUCUCGGUGGUUCCAAUUCUGAUUUUAGCUGGUUACCAGUUCGGACGAAGAUAGUGGGAAAAUAAUUUUUCUACUCUGAAGUAGAUUAACUAUUGACUGAAAUAGAAAAUCGUAACGAGUGGUUACUUUAUCUAGUAAUCGAUAUCAUCUAAUUUCAUAAUUCUAAUCGAUGCUAUAAGAGAUGACAGGUUUCGAUUCUACCUGGAUAUCGAUCAUUUUUCUUUUAGUACUGUAUAUCAUAUCUUUCUUAGUAGAUCAUAUCCUUUUGUCUUUCCAGCAUCCGCUUUCUUCUGGAAGACGGACUGGGCCAAAAUCCAUGAUAAAUUUUUCCGAGGGAUGUGACCCGAGAUUGGAACCCGGGUCCAACAGGGUUCGGAAGCAUUUCUCUACAGCCUCAGCGCUUUGGCUUUUUAUUUUAGAGGAACCAGAUUCGAUUCUUUGAUCCUACUCCUGGAAAAUAUUCGUGAUACCUCUACCCGGUCCUCUCGAUUCCCGAUCUUUAAAAUACGACUGAUCCUUUCGCCAGAGUGGCAGUAUGGUCGGAUUGGUAUCGUUCAGCCAUUUAAUAGUCAUCAGCGAUUGGAAGGUGGUGUCAUCUCUCGACAAAAAUACGGCUGAGUGAUUGCGUGGGAAAGCACUUUCUUAUCACCUUAGAAGAACUGAUUCAAUUCCGGGUCUCACACCUCCAUAUUUUAAGUGGGAUCCGUGCACGAACAGUUGAAUCAUACUUCAGAGUUCCCAUUAACCGUUUUACGGAUGUGGGUCAUCCAGUGAUGGUUUCUAAACAUGGACAUCGGCAAAUAUAUUUUUGGUGUGAGUCGGCGAAGUAUUCAAAUUAACUAAAUCUAACCUAACUUAUCGAAAACGUAUUUUAAUAAAAAUAAAUGUUAAAUUUUAGUUAUAGAGCUGAAUCAUAUAUGGAAUAUUUUUUCUUGUAUGAUAUUACGCACUUUCUAUACUAUUGUAUAUUAAGUGGCAAUUUUUCCAGUUGCCACCAUCGAGAGCCUGAUAUAAUCAUUCGUCGAGUCGAGGAUGCGAUUCAGCUAGUCAAAGCUAAACCUAUUCUGAAACUCAGAAAUAGAACUGGAAUCCUACAGGAUUAUGCCAUAUGUGGCUGGUUGGACGCAGCAUGCUUCUAUCGGCCAUCCAACCACAUAUGGCAUAAUUUUUGCGGCGGCCACUACAACCAGCACUGGCUACCAUCAUCGUGAAGAAGCCAACCGAAAGAUUGAGAAUGGGGUUGAACGGCCAGGUCCGAACGCUGAUGAGAGAAAUUGGAUAUGUGAGACACGGAAUAGUAUCUCAUCUUUCAAGUUGAUAAUUUCACUGCCUUACUACCCAGUCCGAAAUUUAAAUAAUAAAAUGUUUUUUCCUUGUGUGCCAACGCAAUACAUCGCCAUUUUGGAGAACCGGGUUCCUAUCCUUCGCCGGAUACAGAAUAUCUCCUGAUAAGAUACGGCGAUUUAGUAAAACUGACUGAACCUAAUCUAAAUUAUCCUUACCGCUGUGUAACUUUUACUCUCUAAGCCGAGGUACAAUUACAAUGCCUACUAUCGGCUAACCAUAUCCCCGAUGAAGUCAGCCAUUGGAUGGAGGACGUAGUUCAGAUAACUGGUUUCUCAAAAACAUUUCGAAACGUGAACCGGAAAUUGAAUCUGGAACUUUAGAGUGGAAACGCAACCACGCUUCCUUUGCCACUAUUCGCUUUUAAGUAAACUGUUGUUAGUCUAUGUGGAUUAGCAGCAUUUUUCAUUCUCUUUUCUUACAUGGUGACGAGGUAAUUUGAUUGAUUGAUUAUUUGUAAGGAUAAAUAACAAAAUAACAUACAAAUAAUAAUGGCAAAUCAAUCGCUUACAAUGGAUAAUCAAAUUCAAUGCGACCCAUAAAAUAAAAAAAGAAAGACAAAUAUACAUUAUAAUAAUAAUAAUAGCUUCUCUAAAGCCAAGCCGAUUAACUACCGGUACUUUCUUUAAAUUUUUCACUUUUAAUGCCCGAACAAUUCAUUAGUGUACUAAAAUUGAGAAACUGGAAUUAAUCAGUUUGGCUUUUAAAAGUCUCGCUUAUACUAUAAAAGUAUAUAGCCUCACUUCGCACGAAAAUUUUUUGAUAUUUUAAAAUUCUACAUUAUGGUACAAUUAAAAAUUCCCAAUGUCUGAUUUUUUAGCAUUAAUAUUGAUGGAGACGGGAUAGUUAGGCAGGUCAUUAAUAAACAAUAAUACUAAUUAAAACCGUUAACAAAUAACUGGUUACGGGCUUGUCAGGAAUUGAAUUUACUUUUUUAGCGUUAAAUAGGCAUUAGUCAGAGUCUCGACUCAUUUGGUUAAAUUAGUUAAACCGCCAUAUCUCAUGAGGGAUAUAUUUUCUCUUGCGGCGGACACUUGAAUAGUUCAUCACAGGUUGACCGAUAUAUCGGAUGAUUACAAUUAAAGUAUCCCUGUUCACAGCACUGUAAAGAAAGGGAUGGUCGUGAGAACGGCAGGUAUGCG
rnacentral:lncRNA from 1 species